GAUUGGGAGCCUGAGAUGAAUAAAAUACAGGAGGAAAUUGCUGGUGUUAAAGGAACAAUACACAGACCAAGUCCUAUUUGAAAUAUCGCUGAAUAAUGUUCAUUAUUCAAUGGAAAAGUUAAAAAUGAAUAUUUUUUUUGUGAUGAAAACUCAAUAAAUUUGAGUGAGACACAAGGGAUUACGCCGCUGGUAAAGUGUGUGCCUGGAAAGAAAGGUCCCUGAGGCAGCAACGCAUUUAGAAGUUUGAACUACCGGGACACCAUAGACCAUGUGAUGCACAGAGAGAGAAGCGCCAUGCUGGGAGGUCACAAUGGAGCUCCAGCCAUUUAGAGGACUUCCCACACAGCGGCAUGGAGGAGCGCAAUCAGCAUCAGCUGGGGGUGGGGGAGAGAGAGGUCACACGGUAGAUCCCGGCAUCAUAGGGGCAUCGGCACAAGUGGAGUCACACAGCGGAGAUCCCAAAGGAAGCCUAUAGCUCAGCAGUGUUUCUGUCCCUAGAGCAGACACAGCUCCAACAUAAGGGUGAAAUGGUGGUGUCCAUACUCAAUGAGAUACGAGUGACCCCACGGUGCUUAGAGAAAGUGGUUCCAGCACUUCAGUCCAUGGCUGAUUAUUCCUCCGAUCUCUGCCAACUUCUGCCUUUAAUGCUACAGAUGGAGCCUGAGAAGCGCUGUACUGUAAAGGGGUAAUUACAGAAGAAGCCGACCCCUCAGCUGCAGGAGAACCAGCGACCCCUCCCCAGUGAGGAACCAACAAAACAUUCUCCUGGAAGGAUUUGGACUUGUGUUUUAGCCGACUCCAAUUGGGAGCGAUUUUCCUGGGUCUCCUACAACAGAGCCGUGGAGUUGGCAGUGGAUGGAGCACGUGGUUGUGUGUGAAUGGCAGCUUGACUCUGUGUGUGUCAGUUGAAUAAGGUUCUUCCACCCAAAAUGGCAGCUUCCUUCUGUGCAAUCAUUGAUCAAUAUUUGUCUGGUGUUGGCAUCCAGGGAGAUGGGCCUCACACUUAACCUUGUAUAUGCUGGACACGGGAACGUUCAGGUCUCUGCACAAGGACCUGUAGCUUUGAGAUGCUCCUCAUUCAUUACAUACACUUUCUCCCACACAAAGCUGCAGGAAUGGGGCACAAUUUUAACAUAUUAUCCAGAUCCAGACCAGCCUCUAUGGAGGCCCCAUUAAACCACAUCUCAGUUUUAUUAACUCUGCAGUGACAAUUCUCUCUGCUCAUGGCUCUCCAUAGCCUGUAAGGGAGCAAUCAUUUCCAGGUUAUAAAAAUUCCCAACUGUGUCACGUAGAGCUGGGCUUUUCCCAACUGUUGUGCCUCCUGGAGAAACCCAAGCUGAAGGCUGGAGAAGCCUCUUGUUUUCUCUAACAAAUGGGCAGUGUUAGUGAGCAGCUCAGAGACUCCAUGGUUGGCAGUGUUUGCCUCUUCCUCUAUGUGUUUGCUAUGGAGUGUCGGGUCAAUACCAUAUAAAUAAGGGAGAGGGAGUUGUUGAUGUGACGUGGUGGCCUAGUGGAUAAUGCAUUUGGCAUAGAUUGUUGUGAUCUUGAGUUUGAAUUCAGCCUUAGUUGUGUUUGAAAUAUGUUGUUUGUCUUUAAAGUGCUGAAUAAACAUGUUGAUGAUGUUGAUACAAAAGACAAUGCUCAUCUGUUGGGUGGCACAGUGACUCCUGUGGAGCAGAAAAUGUGGGACCGGCCUGAGGAAUUGGGUUUUUAUCCAGGUGUAGCAGUGAGUGAGAAGUGUCUUUUCCCUUUAAAGUGCUGAACAAACAGGAUAAUCCAUGAUAAAUUUACCAAAAACAAAGUUGUAUCUUGUGUGGCAAGGUGGCUCAUGGUGUAGCACUCCUGUGUAGUAGAGUCUGUGGGUCGGAAUUUGAAUCCUUUGGCAGGGGACUAGGGUUCGAAUCCAGUAGUGAUUCUCUUUAAAUUGCUGAACAAACAUGAUAAUCCAUGAUAAAUUUACCAAAAACACAAUAGAAUCUUGUGCGGACAGGUGGCUCGUGGAGUAGCACUGCUGGGUAGCAGAACCUGUCGGCCUGAGUUCAAAUCCCAUCUGUGACUGUGCGGAUCGCAGGCAGGUGGGAGAGGGCGUGAGUUCAAAUCCCGUCUGUGACUGUGUGGGGCGCAGCCAGAUGGGUGAAGUAGGCCGGAGCAAACAUGGUUGGGGGCUGUGGGCCACUCCACAAGUGAAAAAGCAGGGGUUAUAGAAAAAGUUGUUGUGAAAAUUACAAUUU